UACGUAGGGGGCAAGCGUUGUCCGGAUUUAUUGGGCGUAAAGAGCGUGUAGGCGGCCUGACAGGUCUGCUGUGAAAACUCGAGGCUCAACCUCGAGAUGUCGGCGGAAACCGUCUGGCUAGAGUCCGGAAGAGGAGAGUGGAAUUCCUGGUGUAGCGGUGAAAUGCGCAGAUAUCAGGAGGAACACCAAUGGCGAAGGCAGCUCGCUGGGACGGUACUGACGCUGAGACGCGAAAGCGUGGGGAGCAAACAGG
rnacentral:rRNA from 1 species